CUCGUACCUUUUGCAUCAUGAUCUAGCCAGUACCCCUAAGCGAAGAGGCCUCUAGUUUAAUUUCCCGAAACCUUACGAGCUACCCCAAGGCCGCCCAAAAAGGGCAAACCCGUCUCUGUGGCAAAAGAGUGGGAAGACCUUUAGGUAGAGGUGAAAAGCCUACCGAGUAGGGUUAUAGCUGGUUACUCAGAAAAUGAAUAGAAGUUCAGCCCUACAGCCCGCCUCGUACCAGACCACAAUAAGUAAACGAGCCAUCUGUAGGAGUUAGUUAAAGGAGGUACAGCUCCCUUAACAAAGGAUACAACCUUCAACAGGAGGCUAAGGAAUAUAAAUAGUAACCAAGGCCCUAAGUUAUAGUAGGCUUAAAAGCAGCCACCUAAACCAAAAGCGUUAAAGCUUAGACCCAGACAAGCCUGAUAUUCAAUUUAAUUCUCCAAUGCCCCAACUCCUUACUGAGUCAUUUUAUGUCCCCAUAAAAGAGCUCCUGCUAGAACUAGUAAUAAGAAGUUUAAACUUCUCCUUGCACCAGUGUAAAUCGGGCCGGACAACCCGCCGAUGAUUAACGAACCCAAAAACAGAGGGCCCUACGUACCCAUCAUCUAACUCAAGAAAAAUACGUUUCACCCAAUCGUUACCCCAACACAGGAGUGCACAAACUUAAGGAAAGGCUAAAAGGUUAAAAAGGAACUCGGCAAACCAAAACCCCGCCUGUUUACCAAAAACAUCGCCUCCUGCUAACCAAAGUAUA
rnacentral:rRNA from 1 species